AGUAUGACAGGUAUAGUUCUAGCACUGAAAUUUUGAGAGGACAACCUAUUUGCUAAUAUUAAUCGAAAGCAUGAUUCAAUACGGCAAAACUCUAUUAUGAUUUCCAGAUUUUCCAUUGACAGAAAAUAGAACGAUAAAUGCGACAUUGGCAUUUCUUUUUCAACUUACUAUUUCUAUCAGUAAUAAGUUGUAACCAGUGAAUUAAUAUUUGUACUUUGUAUUUUUAGAAUACAAAUGGCAACCGCAGAGUAACGGGCUAUUAGGAGAAAAAUUCCCAAAAUCCACUAACCAAAAAUAUCUAACUCUCCUUCCAACUCAAAUCUUUUGUAGCUCUGUAAUUUGCCUGUUUCUCCCAAAACAACUAUGCAAUUCCAACAACAACUAGUCACAAACAACAAUAAAUCACCGGCACAUCACCGGUCCGGUGACCGGCAAAUCAAUCACCACCACCAAUCACCACAUUUAUAUCUAUGAGAAACUCUCCCUUCUUUGUUUCUAAUGUCUCAUCAGCAUCUUUUUCAGCUUCUUCAAUAUUGUCAACACCUGCACAUUUUAAUUCCACAUUUCCGUUAACAGAUCCGUCCACAAAUUCAACUUUCAUUUUUUCCUUCUACUCCUGUUGCUGACGGUACCUUUGACUUCGUUACAUUUUGUUUUAUUUCCGGUCUUACCCUUCUUUCUCUUCUUUCUUUCGUUUUCAUCUUUCAUCUACGCCUUAGAUCUCGUCAAUUCCCUCAUCUCAAAAACUUCAACUCUCUCUGGACCGUCCGAUUACUCCUUAUAUUCUUCGCUUUUCUUUGGCCUUUGAACGAAGUUUUCCGGUUACAUUUCAUUCGCCGGAAAUACAUUUUUCCAUUUUUACCCUCCUUAACCCUAAAUCAACAACACAAUCUCUGUAAAGUCCACGUGGUUCUUUCCUUGGGCUUAUUUGAACCGGGUUUCUUAAUCACUCUUCUUUUCUUAGUAAACGUGUCCAUUAAAAAACAAAGCCCAAGUGGGAUUUGGGCUGCUAUAAUAGUCUGGCCCAUUUGUUUACCUCUUUUAGUGCUUCAAAUUCUCUCAGUGUUCUUCUCUCCAUUACAAGAACAUAUACCGAAAUACAUGCAUUCGAGUUCGUUCAUUUCCACUGAUUUAUUAGGGAACAAAACAGUGCUUUGUACUUACCCUUUAUACAGUGCUAUUUUAUUUGGAGGAUUUGUGGUUGCUUAUUUGUCAGCCUUCUUGUUUUCGUGUUGGAGGGUUAUAUCCUUUGUUAUUAACAGGAAAAUUCAGAUCCUAUACAUGGUGUUGCUGUGUUGGUGAUGUUCUUAGCUGUUGCAUGGUGUGUAGCAGUUGGUGAGGUUACUUUGGUAAUUAAACCUAUUGCUGAUGCAUUUGCUGCUGGUAGAGCAUGUAGUUGACAUUGGAAUCACGGAGUUAUGUAAGGAGAAAGGGUGGAAGGACAUCAUGGUCAUUUUAUGUCUAAUUAAUAGGGGGCGUUAUAGGCUUAUAGUUUAUAGUUAUGGCUCAUUAGUAUAUAUUUGAGCUUGAUUGAUAGUCAGUAGUUUAAUAUUGCCCUCUUUGUCUAAUUACUAGAAAUUGCUUAGUAAUUAAUUGCAGCAUAUAAUUAGCAGUUGUUCAUAGUUUCAGGAUUUUCUGGGAAGAAAAAUCAUCAGAUAUAUACGGCCUAGGAAAUAUCCACUCUCUUUCUUUUCCCUAUUGCAGAGAAUGUUUCCGUGCUCAUAUUUAAAUUAA